AAGAGACAGCAGCCGCCGCGGUAAUACAGAGGGUGCGAGCGUUAAUCGGAUUUACUGGGCGUAAAGCGUGCAUAGGCGGCUUUUUAAGUCGGAUGUGAAAUCCCUAAGCUUAACUUAGGAAUUGCAUUCGAUACUGGGAAGCUAGAGUAUGGGAGAGGAUGGUAGAAUUCCAGGUGUAGCGGUGAAAUGCGUAGAGAUCUGGAGGAAUACCGAUGGCGAAGGCAGCCAUCUGGCCUAAUACUGACGCUGAGGUACGAAAGCAUGGGGAGCAAACAGGAUUAGAUACCCCGGUAGUCCCUGUCUCUUAUAC
rnacentral:rRNA from 1 species